UACGAAGGGGGCUAGCGUUGUUCGGAAUCACUGGGCGUAAAGGGCGCGUAGGCGGUUUUAUAAGUCGGGGGUGAAAGCCUGUGGCUCAACCACAGAAUUGCCUUCGAUACUGUAGAGCUUGAGACCGGAAGAGGUAAGUGGAACUGCGAGUGUAGAGGUGAAAUUCGUAGAUAUUCGCAAGAACACCAGUGGCGAAGGCGGCUCACUGGUCCGGUACUGACGCUGAGGUGCGAAAGCGUGGGGAGCAAACAGG
rnacentral:rRNA from 1 species